rnacentral:rRNA from 1 species
UACGGAGGAUGCAAGCGUUAUCCGGAUUUAUUGGGCGUAAAGCGUCCGCAGGUGGUUGUUCAAGUCUGCUGUUAAAGCGCGAGGCUUAACCUUGUACAGGCAGUGGAAACUGAUCGACUAGAGUAUGGUAGGGGUAGCGGGAAUUCCCAGUGUAGCGGUGAAAUGCGUAGAUAUUGGGAAGAACACCAGCGGCGAAAGCGCGCUACUGGGCCAUUACUGACACUCAUGGACGAAAGCUAGGGGAGCGAAAGGG